UCCAAUUGGAAAGCUCCAAUAGGAAGCUCCGCCCGUUUCAGGAAGCUCCAUGGAAACUGAGGUCUCUGGGAAGCAGCUGAAAACGUCCCGAUCUCAUUGUGUCCGCGACGUCCUGAAGUAGCGGCAGGGACAAGCUAAGGACUGAGAAUCGGGGCUCCAGUAAUAAGGGCAACGUUGGGAUCAUUGGAAGCUGCGAGAUUGUGAGGCACAGCACAGGAAAAAGAGAAAUCCCAAGCAAGAGACUGCCUACGGAGCUGUGCUGAUAUCCAGAAUCAAUUGAGAGGCUCUUGCAUUCUCCCUGCCAACAUGGAACAGCUCCCCAGCAAUCUGCAGGUUCUUCUGCAAGCUGCUGAGUACGUGGAGCGAAGGGAAAGAGAAGCAGAGCAUGGUUAUGCCUCCAUCUUGCCUUGUGAUCCUGCCACCCCUGGGAGGCGAAAACGUCAGAGAACAAACAGCAACCCAGAUAAUGUCAGAUCUGUUCACAAUGAGCUAGAGAAACACAGGCGAGCUCAACUUCGAAGAUGCUUAGAGCAGCUUAAACAACAAGUGCCUUUGAGCAUGGAAAACUCAAGGCAUACAACGCUCAGUCUACUACACAGGGCCAAGCAACACAUCAAAAAACUGGAAGACCAGGAGCUAAGGGCAAAAAGUUUGAAGGAAAAACUGAGGGCUGAUCAGCAGAAGCUCCGCCAGAGACUAAAACGGCUUUUACCUCCUAACACUGAGCGGAUUCGAACUGACAGCUUAGAUUCGUCAAAUUUAUCCUCGGAGAGGUCUGAUUCAGAUCAAGAGGAUUUGGAGGUAGAUGUGGAGGGAAUAAUUCUGAGCGGCAAUGAGGGUGAACUCUUUGUUUCAUUUAGUGCUGGGCUGGAACACAGCUACUCUACUCCAGCUCAUGCCUGGCUAUGACCUCUGAUUACCAGCACAGCACAUGAAACAUCAGCAGACUUACUAUAUUGGCAGCUCCCCAAAUCAACUUACCUUGCAGAUCGGAAAACACUUGCUGAUGUGGCACACGCAGGAUAACUAAAAUCAUUUGUUUUGGCUCACCUCCAUAUAAAGAUGUGCUGUUACAGUCUUGAAAACAUUUGAAGGUGCUUUGGACAAACUAUUGCUGGAACAGGACAUAAAAUAUCAUAAAGAAAGGAAAGAAAGUAAUGAAAGAAGUAGAGGUAUGGUGCGCUUUGAUAUCAAUGACAUAAAAAACAGAAUACACAUGUCAGAAAAAAUUUGGAUUUGCUGCCCAGAGGUAAGUAACCCAAUGCCCUGUUAGGUUGCUGAUCGUCGUUUCACACAACAGCUGUUUAGGAGUCUAUAUCAUUUAUGGGAUGCGUAUCUAGCCAUGGGGCCCAAACCUUGUCAAACUUCCCCGGACAACCCCGAGAAUCAUACGUUCGCUUAAUGGAGGGGAGGACUUUAUUUACCAAGUUAAUCCAGUGCUCCACGUUGAGCGUUGAAUUCCCCAUCCAGCUCAUUGCUAUUAUUUUCUUAGCGUAAUAUAAAAGGACCCUUGCUUAGGACCUAUUCUUGUUUAAAGGAAGGAGAUCGUCCACGAGGCCAAGGAGACAAAUUUGUGGAUUGCAUGUGUUAGGGAAAGCUAAGUUAUCCACCAUGUACUUAACCACCUCCCUCCAAUAUGCUUGUAUAAUUGGGUAUUCCCAUAUUAAGUGAAAGAAGGAGGCAUUCUAUCUUGGCAUCUAGCUUCUGUUUGGCCCCCAUCUUUUUCAAUUUCAGUGGGGUGAUAUACAAUUGGUGGUUGAUUUUAAAUUGAAUCAUCCUAUCCUUUAUAGUGAUUGAGGGGCAGAUUUACAUAGGGUCGAAUAUCGAGGGUUAAUUAACCCUCGAUCUUCGACUGUCGAAUGUAAAUCCUUCGACUUCGAAUAUCGUGUGGGGUCGAGUUAGUUGUGGGUCUAGCCUCGUAGUCUUCUAGUUUCCUGUAGGGGAGGUUCUUAAGGGCUUCCCAUGACUCUAGUCUAAGGGCCAGGAGAGUCAUGCCAGUAUCCGUUUCGUUGAUGUGUAGCCAGCUAUGCACAUGGUGUAUCUGACUCGCCAAAAAGUAAAUAUAGAAAUGAGGAAGAGCAAGGCCUCCUUUGGCAAUCGUGGUAGUUAACAGGGUCCAAGAGAACCGAGGAGAUUUAUUAGCCCACAAGAAAGGAAUGAGGAUGGAAUUGAUUUUCCGAAAGGUUACUUUGGGAAUCCAUAUUGGAGAGUUAUGGAGUUUAUACAAAAAUUUUGGCAGGAAGAUCAUCUUGAAUAAAUUGACUCUUCCCCACAGGGUAAGAGGGAGGCCAGACCAUGUUGUUUUUGCGGUUCUAAAAUGACAAGGGGCGUGAUGUUUUCCUCUAUAUAUAAGGAAAGUUCGGGUGAUAUUGUAAUACCAAGAUACUUGAGUUUUGUGACCCAUUUGGUUUCUUGUGUGCUCACUGGCUGAUUUGGUACUGGGUCUAUCGGGAGUAUUACUGAUUUCUCUUUAUUAAUUGUAAGACCAGAGUAUUUUGCAAAGUUUUGAAGUACAUCCAGUGCUACAGACUGUGAUUCUUGGUGAUCUGCUGGAAAGAGGAGCAGGUCGUCUGCGUAAAGUGCCAGCUUGUCCUCCAGGGAGCCCAGCUUAAAGCCCUGUAUGUUUGCAGUUUGUCUAAUGUGAAGAGCCACAGGUUCGAUUGCAAUAGCAAAUAGGAGUGGGGAUAAGGGGCAUCCCUGUCUGGUCCCCCGUGAGAGAGGAAAGCGAUCCUCCAAUUUUUAUCUGAGCUGUGGGUUUCUGAUACAGCAGAUGGAUCCAGCUAGUGAAUCGCGGGCCAAAACCAAAGGGCCUUGGUGUUUCCUAAAGGUAGGGCCAUUUCGACUGAGUCGAACGCUUUAGUUGCGUUCAAAGCCACCAUUAUCCUAGAGCCAUUAUCAUGAGGGGUUUGUAGGUGGGUGUAGACCCUUCUAAGAUUUGUUGCAGUGGAUUUGCCGGGCAUAAAUCCAGAUUGGUUAGGGUGAAUUACUGAGGUUAUUACUUUCAUGAGUCUUGUUGCUAAUAAUUUAGCAAAUAUUUUUGCGUCUGUAUUAGUCAAGGAGACUGGCCUAUAUGAGUCGCACUGUUCUGGGUUCUUGGCUUUUCUAUAUAUCAGAACUAUAAUCGCUUUGUGAAAGGAUGAAGCAAGAGAGCCAGUCUCAAUGGCAUUAACAUAGGUAUAAGGGUAAGCCCACAUGAGGAGAUUCGGGAAGAUUUUGUCGCCUGGCGACUAAUCGCCUCGUCUUUUGCGUGACUAUCUCCCCGAACUGCCUCUGCGUUUUUCCCCAUAGGCUAGAAUGAUAAGUCGCCUGCGCUAAUGCACACGCGGCGAUGCGUUUUCAAUAGUUGCCCAAAGUUGCCUCACUGAAUCUCCCCGAAUCUCCUCGUGUGACCUUACCCUUAAGUAGAUGUUGAGUGAGAUUUUUGACAUGCAAUGCAUACCAGGCUGCUGGGAAACCAUCUGUCCCUGGUGUUUUACCUUUUGUUAGAGAUGCAACUGCCUCAAUCACUUCCUCUUCUGUAAUGGGGCUGUCGAGAUAAGCGAUUUCAUCUGCUGUUAAGUGUGGAAACUCAAUGUUGUUCAUGUAGUGGUUCAACUGCUCAGUGUUAUAUGCAACCUUGGACUUGUACAGUGUUUCAUAGAAAGAGGCAAAGCUAUCUAAGAUAGUCUGAGGGUUAGUAACCAGGUUCUCUUCAGUGUCCAUGAUUAGAGUUUGGGUGUCCCUACUUUUUGCUAAAUGGGCUGGCUAGAAGACUCCCAGCUUUGGCGCCCUGGUCAAACACACGUUGAUUAGAGUAUAACAGCCUUUUCCUAGUCAAUUUAGUUAGCGCUAGUUCAAAGUCUCUUUGUGCUUGUGCUAGAAUAGUCUGAUUUCUCUCUGACUGGGCGGAUUUGUAUCUGCUUUCUGCCUCCUAAAGAGCUUGCUGUGAUUCCUCCACUUCAAUGGCAUUUUGUCUUCGGACAGUCUUUUUUAGAAAGGGUCAGUGGCUCCCAUUUGAAAGCUAGAAAGUCAGAAAAAAAAAAAAGACCAACUGAAGAGUUGCUUAGAAUUUGCCAUUCUAUAGCAAACUUAAAGGUGAACCACCCCUUUAAUGGCCUUGUGCAUUACAGCACCCUGUACCUAAAUACAUGUAGGUCUGAUUUAUCAGCCUUAUGGCCAUCAGAUAGUGUGCAGUAGUGAUGUGCGGGCCGGCCCAAUACCCGCAGGUCGGACAUGUUUGGGCCGACCUUGCUGCUCCUCUUGUGGGUCGUGGUUGAGCUCUUGUGCCUGCUGUCCCCGCCCGCGACCUUAGAAUGCCAGCUUCCUGUUUUAUAGGCUUGCUUCUGCCCCGCCCAACUUGUAUUAACCUCUUAUCAUUGCCCCAAGCAGUAUUGGUGCUUAACAUUGAAGUACUGGGGUUUGGGGUACAUUUCUGACUAGGGCACCGUCUCUGUGGUGGAGGGUUGUGGGUUUUCCCCAUAUUUGAGUGACUUGGAUCUGGGGUCUCUGAUUUUCUUUAACAGCCCAGACUACAUUCUUAGGUUAAAGCUAAAACAGACCCUAUUGUGAAUAAUAAAACAGGGAGAGAUGAACAUUAUAAAACUAUCUACUAGUUAAUAUACUAAGGACUGUGAUAGAUGUCAGUGCUAUAUAAAACAAGGCUGUUAAUUUUAAAAAAAAAACUCAGUCAAAGAGCAUAAAACGUAAAGGAAAACUUUACCCCCAAAACA